rnacentral:rRNA from 1 species
UACGUAGGGUGCGAGCGUUGUCCGGAAUUACUGGGCGUAAAGAGCUCGUAGGUGGUUUGUCGCGUUGUUCGUGAAAUCUCACGGCUUAACUGUGAGCGUGCGGGCGAUACGGGCAGACUCGAGUUCGGUAGGGGAGACUGGAAUUCCUGGUGUAGCGGUGAAAUGCGCAGAUAUCAGGAGGAACACCGGUGGCGAAGGCGGGUCUCUGGGCCGAUACUGACGCUGAGGAGCGAAAGCGUGGGGAGCGAACAGG